UGGGGGGGGUGCAAUACAUGCAGUCGAGCGGACAGAAGGGAGCUUGCUCCCGGAUGUUAGCGGCGGACGGGUGAGUAACACGUGGGUAACCUGCCUGUAAGACUGGGAUAACUCCGGGAAACCGGAGCUAAUACCGGAUAGUUCCUUGAACCGCAUGGUUCAAGGAUGAAAGACGGUUUCGGCUGUCACUUACAGAUGGACCCGCGGCGCAUUAGCUAGUUGGUGAGGUAACGGCUCACCAAGGCGACGAUGCGUAGCCGACCUGAGAGGGUGAUCGGCCACACUGGGACUGAGACACGGCCCAGACUCCUACGGGAGGCAGCAGUAGGGAAUCUUCCGCAAUGGACGAAAGUCUGACGGAGCAACGCCGCGUGAGUGAUGAAGGUUUUCGGAUCGUAAAGCUCUGUUGUUAGGGAAGAACAAGUGCAAGAGUAACUGCUUGCACCUUGACGGUACCUAACCAGAAAGCCACGGCUAACUACGUGCCAGCAGCCGCGGUAAUACGUAGGUGGCAAGCGUUGUCCGGAAUUAUUGGGCGUAAAGGGCUCGCAGGCGGUUUCUUAAGUCUGAUGUGAAAGCCCCCGGCUCAACCGGGGAGGGUCAUUGGAAACUGGGAAACUUGAGUGCAGAAGAGGAGAGUGGAAUUCCACGUGUAGCGGUGAAAUGCGUAGAGAUGUGGAGGAACACCAGUGGCGAAGGCGACUCUCUGGUCUGUAACUGACGCUGAGGAGCGAAAGCGUGGGGAGCGAACAGGAUUAGAUACUUUGUUA
rnacentral:rRNA from 1 species